CAAAAGAAGAUUUGGAUGUUCUUCAAUUUUGGAAAGAAAAUAGAAAUCGAUAUCCAGUGAUUUCAUUGAUGGCACAAGACAUUUUGAGUAUUCCUAUUACUACAGUGGCUUCAGAGUCCGCUUUCAGCGUUGGCGGUCGGAUUAUCAACAAAUAUCGUAGUACCAUCUUGCCAGAGAAUGUAGAAGCUUUAAUAUGCACUAAAGAUUGGUUAUAUGGUGAAAAAUUUUCACAAGAAAAUGCCGAGGAAGAAGCUGCAUUAAUUACAGAUUUUGCUCCAUUAGUUACAAAACUUCUUGGCUCCAAUAGGGAGGUUUACGAAGAGGAAAUCUAGUCAUGUGACUUAUUGGAUUGCUCAAAGUUUUGCAGCUUCUUGAUGGGGCCCUUUGUUCGUGUCUUCUUUCACUCCUUAGGGACUAGUAUUCACUGCCCUUGCUGGACUAAAAGAGGAGCUGUGUUUUGGGAAGGUACCAUGCCAUUACCAGUGCUUACUACAGAGGAGCUGUUGGUGCUUUACUCGUGUAUGAUGUCACUAGACGUUCUACCUUUGAGAAUGUUGAGAGAUUGGAUGCUGUUCAAGCUAGAGCUUGCAUGGAAAUCUUCAAGGACAAUGGCUCUUGCUGCAUAAGUCCUGUACAUUACAUCGUUCAACCAGCAAUAUUGUUCAUUUGAUUGUCCUCUUUGUCUUGGAUCAUAUAAGAUGACAGUUACAUGGAAAUACUUUAGUAUUUUCAUGAAAUUCUUACUUGGUAGGAUCAGGAAUGGGUAUAG